AGCAGCCGCGGUAAUUCCAGCUCCAAUAGCGUAUAUUAAAGUUGUUGCAGUUAAAAAGCUCGUAGUUGAAUUUCGAGAUCAAACUGUUGGUCGUGCCUUGGUACGUACUGGCAUUAUUGAUUUCUCCCUUCUGAAGAACCACGAUGUCAUUAAUUUGGUGUCUUGGGGAAUCAGGACUGUUACUUUGAAAAAUUAGAGUGUUUAAAGCAGGCUCACGCUUGAAUACAUUAGCAUGGAAUAAUGAAAUAGGACGUUUGAUUCUAUUUUGUUGGUUUCUAGGAUUGACGUAAUGAUUAAUAGGGAUAGUUGGGGGCAUUAGUAUUCAAUUGUCAGAGGUGAAAUUCUUGGAUUUAUUGAAGACUAACUACUGCGAAAGCAUUUGCCAAGGAUGUUUUCAUUAAUCAAGAACGAAAGUUAGGGGAUCGAAGACGAUCAGAUACCGUCGUAGUC
rnacentral:rRNA from 1 species